rnacentral:lncRNA from 1 species
GGGUCUCGAGCCUCCAUGUUACUGUGGGUUGAAGAGCUCCAGGAGAUCAAGAAGGAGACUGACUUUCCCCACAGCCUGAUCACCUGCCUAUACAGCCACUUCACCAGCCUGGACAAAGGAAAGAAUGGGACUCUCAGCAGGGAAGAUUUCUAGAGGAUUCCAGAACUUGCCAUCAACCCAUUGAGGGACCAGAUCAUCAAUGCCUUCUUCUCAGAGGGAGAGGAUCAGGUAAACUUUUGAGGAUUCAUGGGAACUUUGGCUCAUUUCUGACCCAUUGAGGAUAACAAAAAGAGCAAUGAUGUGAAUCGACUGGAACCACUCAACAGCUGGAGCAACAACUUGCACUUUACUUUCUGACUCUAUGAUUUGGAUAAAGAUGACAAGAUCUCCCGUGAUGAGCUGUUAUAGAUACUGCGAAUGAUGGUCAGAGUGAAUAUUUCAGAUGAGCUGCUAGGCAGUAUUGCAGACAGGAUCAUCCAGGAGGCUGACCAAGAUGAUGAUAGUGCCAUAUCUUUUACAGAAUUUUUUAACGUUUUAGAAAAGGUAGAUGUAGAACAGAAGAUGAACAUCAGACUUCUCCACUAA